AUUGAACGCUGGCGGCAGGCCUAACACAUGCAAGUCGAGCGGAUGAAGGGAGCUUGCUCCUGGAUUCAGCGGCGGACGGGUGAGUAAUGCCUAGGAAUCUGCCUGGUAGUGGGGGAUAACGUCCGGAAACGGGCGCUAAUACCGCAUACGUCCUGAGGGAGAAAGUGGGGGAUCUUCGGACCUCACGCUCUCAGAUGAGCCUAGGUCGGAUUAGCUAGUUGGUGGGGUAAAGGCCUACCAAGGCGACGAUCCGUAACUGGUCUGAGAGGAUGAUAAGUCACACUGGAACUGAGACACGGUCCAGACUCCUACGGGAGGCAGCAGUGGGGAAUAUUGGACAAUGGGCGAAAGCAUGAUCCAGCCAUGCCGAGUGUGUGAAGAAGGUCUUCGGAUUGUAAAGCACUUUAAGUGGGGAGGAAGGGCAGUAAGUUAAUACCUUGCUGGUUUGACGUUACCAACAGAAUAAGCACCGGCUAACUUCGUG
rnacentral:rRNA from 1 species